AUUCCCUUAUGAUCACCUAAGUUAAGUAACAUUGAGCCUGGUCAGUACCUAGAUGGGUGACUGCUUGGGAAUACCAGGCACUGCAA